CCUACGGGAGGCAGCAGUGAGGAAUAUUGGUCAAUGGACGGAAGUCUGAACCAGCCAUGCCGCGUGCAGGAAGACGGCUCUAUGAGUUGUAAACUGCUUUUGUACAAGGGUAAACCUGAAUACGUGUAUUCAGCUGAAAGUACUGUACGAAUAAGGAUCGGCUAACUCCGUGCCAGCAGCCGCGGUAAUACGGAGGAUCCAAGCGUUAUCCGGAUUUAUUGGGUUUAAAGGGUGCGUAGGCGGAUUGGUAAGUUAGAGGUGAAAUGUCCGAGCUUAACUCGGGAACUGCCUCUAAUACUGUUGGUCUAGAGAGUAGAUGAGGUAGGCGGAAUGGAUGGUGUAGCGGUGAAAUGCUUAGAGAUCAUACAGAACACCGAUUGCGAAGGCAGCUUACCAAUCUAUAUCUGACGUUGAGGCACGAAAGCGUGGGGAGCAAACAGGAUUAGAUACCCGGGUAGUC
rnacentral:rRNA from 1 species